AGAGUUUGAUCAUGGCUCAGGAUGAACGCUAGCGGCAGGCCUAAUACAUGCAAGUCGAACGGUAAGUCCCUGCUUGCAGGGAACACGAGUGGCGCACGGGUGAGUAACGCGUAUGCAACCUACCUUUAACAAGAGGAUAGCCCCGAGAAAUCGGGAUUAAUACUUUAUAAUAAUAAGAAUUGGCAUCGAUUUUUAUUUAAAGCUCCGGCGGUUUUAGAUGGGCAUGCGUGGCAUUAGCUAGUUGGUGAGGUAACGGCUCACCAAGGCAACGAUGUCUAGGGGUUCUGAGAGGAUUUUCCCCCACACUGGUACUGAGACACGGACCAGACUCCUACGGGAGGCAGCAGUGAGGAAUAUUGGGCAAUGGACGCAAGUCUGACCCAGCCAUGCCGCGUGCAGGAUGACAGCCCUACGGGUUGUAAACUGCUUUUAUAUGAAAAAAAUUCUCCCGACGUGUCGGGAGUUGAUUGUACCAUAUGAAUAAGCAUCGGCUAACUCCGU
rnacentral:rRNA from 1 species